UAGUCCACGCCGUAAACGAUGGAUACUCGGUGUAGGAGGGAUUCGACCCCCUUCUGUGCCUAAGCUAACGCGUUAAGUAUCCCGCCUGGGGAGUACGGUCGCAAGAUUAAAACUCAAAGGAAUAGACGGGACCCACACAAGCGGUGGAGCAUGUGGUUUAAUUCGACAAUAAACGGGGAACCUUACCAAGGCUUGACAUCUCUGGAAUCCACUAGAAAUAGAGGAGUGCCGUAAGGAACCAGAUGACAGGUGCUGCAUGGUCGUCGUCAGCUCGUGCCUUGAGGUGUUCGGUUAAGUCCGUAAACGAGCGCAACCCAUGUCUUAUGUUGCAUUUUUCAUAAGAGACUGCCGGCUCCAAGUCGGAGGAAGGUAUGGAUGACGUCAGAUCAGCAUGGGCCCUUAUGCCUUGGGGCCACACACGUGCUACAAUGGGCCAGUACAAUGGGGUA
rnacentral:rRNA from 1 species